rnacentral:rRNA from 1 species
GAUGAACGCUGGCGGCGUGCCUAAUACAUGCAAGUCGAGCGAACAAACGAGGAGCUUGCUCCUCUGACGUUAGCGGCGGACGGGUGAGUAACACGUGGAUAACCUACCUAUAAGACUGGGAUAACUUCGGGAAACCGGAGCUAAUACCGGAUAAUAUAUUGAACCGCAUGGUUCAAUAGUGAAAGACGGUUUUGCUGUCACUUAUAGAUGGAUCCGCGCCGCAUUAGCUAGUUGGUAAGGUAACGGCUUACCAAGGCAACGAUGCGUAGCCGACCUGAGAGGGUGAUCGGCCACACUGGAACUGAGACACGGUCCAGACUCCUACGGGAGGCAGCAGUAGGGAAUCUUCCGCAAAGGGCGAAAGCCUGACGGAGCAACGCCGCGUGAGUGAUGAAGGUCUUCGGAUCGUAAAACUCUGUUAUUAGGGAAGAACAAAUGUGUAAGUAACUAUGCACGUCUUGACGGUACCUAAUCAGAAAGCCACGGCUAACUACGUG